AACGCACAUUGCGCCCGUUAGCAUUCUAGCGGGCAUGCCUGUCCGAGCGUCAUUUCAACCCUCAGGGUCCCCGUUUCGGCGGGGAACCUGGUGUUGGGGAUCGGCCCGCCCCGCGCGGCGCCGUCCCCCAAAUCUAGUGGCGGUCUCGCUGCAGCCUCCCCUGCGUAGUAGUUUACAACCUCGCACCGGAGCGCGGCGCGGCCACGCCGUAAAACCCCCGACUUUCUGAACGUUGACCUCGGAUCAGGUAGGAAUACCCGCUGAACUUAA
rnacentral:misc_RNA from 1 species